ACUCCUACGGGAGGCAGCAGUGGGGAAUAUUGCACAAUGGGGGAAACCCUGAUGCAGCGACGCCGCGUGAAGGAAGAAGUAUCUCGGUAUGUAAACUUCUAUCAGCAGGGAAGAAAACAGACGGUACCUGACUAAGAAGCCCCGGCUAACUACGUGCCAGCAGCCGCGGUAAUACGUAGGGGGCAAGCGUUAUCCGGAUUUACUGGGUGUAAAGGGAGCGUAGACGGCAGCACAAGUCUGAAGUGAAAUGCCGGGGCUUAACCCCGGAACUGCUUUGGAAACUGUGCAGCUAGAGUGCAGGAGAG
rnacentral:rRNA from 1 species